rnacentral:rRNA from 1 species
GACGAACGCUGGCGGCGUGCUUAACACAUGCAAGUCGAACGGAAAGACCCGGCUCUUGUGGCGUUCUCGAGUGGGGAACGGGGGUGUGACACGCGUGUAACCUGCACUUGUCUUUGUGGUAACUUUACGGGAAUGGGGCGCAUAUAGGAUAGGAUCUCCUGCUGCGUGGUGGUGGUUGGAAAGUGUCGGCGGUUGGGGCUGGACUCGCGGGUUAUCAGCUUGUUGGGGGGGUAGGUGCUUACCAAGGCUUUGACGGGUAGCCGGCCUGAGAGGGUGACCGGCCACAAUGGGACUGAGAGACGGCCCAGACUCCUACGGGAGGCAGCAGUGGGGAAUCUUGCACAGUGACCGGAAGCCUGAUGCAGCAACGCCGCGUGCGGGAUGCCGGCCUUCUGGUUGUAAACAGCUUUCGACUGUGACAAAGCGUGAGUGACGGUAAUGGGUAAAGAAGCAACGGCUAACUACGUG